UACGGAGGGUGCGAGCGUUUGUCCGGAAUCAUUGGGCGUAAAGAGCGUGUAGGCGGCCAGGUAGGUCCGUUGUGAAAACUCGAGGCUCAACCUCGAGACGUCGGCGGAAACCCUCUGGCUAGAGUCCGGAAGAGGAGAGUGGAAUUCCUGGUGUAGCGGUGAAAUGCGCAGAUAUCAGGAGGAACACCGGUGGCGAAGGCGGGUCUCUGGGCCGAUACUGACGCUGAGGAGCGAAAGCGUGGGGGAGCGAACAGG
rnacentral:rRNA from 1 species